rnacentral:misc_RNA from 1 species
CUGUCGGGGCCCAGAUCAGCUGACGGACUCCUCCAGCAAACGUUCCUUGACCCACAAACACUACAGAUACACUGGUAGAUAAAAUAAUAAGCUGUUCUAAAUACAGCCGCCGCUCUACCUGGAUAUACAAUCGCCGUCCAGCUCUUAAGGGCAGCAGGAUGUAUUUGGACUAAGCGUCGCCGGAGUAAGCAAGGUUCUCACCCCUAGCAGCGUCCCUAAGCCCGCGUCACCAUGGCCAACGCGGGGCACUUGGUUCGCCGCACCUCGCAGCGGGAGAUGGUGGUGCCGCAGAAGAGUCUCGAGCGAAUUGAAAUGCGAGACAUGAGGAACCGUCUGGUGCAGGAGAACGGCGGGCCCUCCUACGGCACCACCAACCAGGGCUUCGAGGACCCCCAGAGAAGACAAAGUGUGAAGAAAAGGACCACCAGUGUGACCAUCCCAGAGGAAGCCAUACAGAGCCCAACACGAUCGGAGAAAGACCUGGAGGCCCUGGAUGCGCCCCCGCCCGGAGACGCCAUCCAGGCCAGCGCCACCGCCAAGCCCGGGGACGGCGUGGUGAACGACAGGGAAUCUUGGGACUCGAAAUGGCAAUACCUGCUGGCCGUGAUCGGGUACGCGGUGGGCCUGGGCUCCGUGUGGCGCUUCCCUUACUUGUGCCAGAAGAAUGGAGGGGGAGCCUUCCUCUUCCCUUACCUCAUCAUGCUGGCGGUGGAGGGUAUCCCGGUGUUCUAUCUGGAGCUGGCUGUCGGUCAACGCCUCAGGAAGGGCGCCAUAGGGGUCUGGAAUCAGGUGUCGCCCUACUGCGGUGGCAUCGGUGUCGCCUCCGCCUUCGUAUCGUUCAAUGUCGCCCUCUACUACAACACUAUCAUCGCCUGGUGCCUCUACUACCUCGCCGGGAGUUUUCGCAGCCCUCUCCCCUGGACUGACUGCCCCAAGACUUACUACACCAACAGCUCUUACAAGGACGUGAAAGAAUGUGCGAAGAGCAGCCCGACGGAGUACUUCUGGUACAGAGACACACUCGACAUCUCACCGGACAUCAACCACCCAGAGAAAUUCAACUGGAAGAUCGCUCUGUGCCUCAUCAUAGCGUGGGUGCUCACCUACCUCUGCAUGGCCAAGGGCAUCGCCUCAUCCGGAAAGGUAGUGUACGUGACGGCGCCCUUCCCCUACCUGGUGCUGGUGAUAUUCUUCGUGCGCGGCAUCACCCUGCCAGGAAUGGAGGACGGACUCAAGCAUCUCUUCACUCCAGACUGGACGAAAAUAUUAGACCCGACGGUGUGGCUAGAGGCGGGUACCCAGAUCUUCUUCUCCCUGGGCCUGGCGUUCGGGGGCCUCAUCGCCUUCUCGUCCUACAAUCCAGUGCACAACAACUGUUUCCGUGACGCUGUGGUUUGUGGCCUCAUCAACUGCUGCACCGCCAUCUUCGCUGCCGUUGUCGUCUUCUCCGUCUUAGGUUUCAAGGCCCACAUGCAGUACGAGGAAUGCGUGAACAACAACGACAACAUCCUGAUGGAGAGGAUCAACACAACGGACGUGAUUUCCAUUGACGCCAACACUGUCCUGCUGACUGACGGCACCAACAUCACCAUCCCCGAGCUGCAGAAGUGUGACCUGCAGGAGACGCUGAGGAAUUCAGCCUCAGGGACAGGACUCGCCUUCAUCGUGUUCACGGAGGCCAUCAACCAGUUCCCGUGGGCUCCCUUCUGGUCCGUGCUCUUCUUCCUUAUGCUCUUCACCCUCGGCAUCGACUCUGAGUUCGGCACGCUGGAGGGAGUCAUCACCUCCGUCGUGGACCUCAAAGUCUUCCCUAACCUUCGCAAGGAGUUUCUGACCGCGUUGGCUUGCACUGUGUGCUGCACGAUCAGCAUGGCCUUCGCUCACGGCGCUGGGAACUACGUCUUCAUCCUCUUCGACGAUUUCUCCGGCAACAUCCCUCUGCUCAUCGUGGCUUUCUUCGAGUGCGUCUCCGUCUCCUACGUGUACGGCCUGCGCAGGUUCAGUGAUGACAUCGAGCUUAUGAUUGGCAGCAGACCUCAUAGCUUCUUUCUCGCUUGUUGGAAGUACGUGUCCCCUGCUGUCAUGCUCACCAUUCUCCUCGCCUCUAUCAUCAAACAGGUGAUGAGCGGCUCAGGGUACAUGGCCUGGAAUGCUCAAGAAGGCAGGAUAACCUUCUUACAGUGGCCAACCUGGGCGUGGGGACUGGUGGCGGUCAUGGUGCUUGUCUCUGCCCUCUGGAUCCCCCUCAUUGCCCUCACCAGGCUGUGCGGCAUCCACGUGAUUCAAGACGAGGAGCCAGCGUGGUUCCCUGCCGAGGAGCUGAGAGAGUAUUACGCAAUUGUACCCCACAAAGUGACGCAAGUGGAAAGGAAGCUUUUCUGUAUCCGGGAGGAUGGCAGCGAGGGCCUGUGCUGCCCCAUCAACGCCCCACCCCAGGAGAGUGUCUAGAAGUGAAUGGAUACAGCGAGGGUGCGACAGCAGAUGGCCAUUGGUCAAUACCGUGAGGUCGCCGCACAAUAAGGAAAAAUAUCUGCUUCGUGGUGAUGCAAACGAGUAGGAAAUGUAGGAAAUCGUCGGUAGCUGGUUACGUAGCGAGGAUGAGGUUUGGUUACAACACAGUCCACCACCUCCCGUGCGAGCCUUUCCCUUCCUUGCUUGUUCAAAUAUCAUUGCAUAAUAAUUGAGUGAGGCUCUAGGCUUUGUACCUUGGUUGGCUUGCCUCCCCUGACCUCCUGUCCCAGCGAGGAGAGAGGACAGGGUCUGUUCCUACACACAACACCUGCCCGACGCACGCCUCCGUCGAUCAGUCAGUCAGUCCCGGCGGAAAAACAAAAAUGAAAAAAUACCUGUUUUCACCCUCGUAGAUAACUGUGUAAAGUAUCUCAUUCUAUUUUAACAUAACUGCAGUUUUGGUAGAUGAAGCAAGUUGGAUAGACUAAUAACGUCUAUUAUCCUUGAAUCUAAGUAUGUAUUUAUUUUCAAAAUGGUGACGGCUUACACGGGUAGAAAACAACAUUACGAGCAUAGUCUUAGGUUAAGGUGAUGCUGGCAGGUAACAGAGCCCUAAGCCCUGAGCCCUGGUGUGUGUGCGCGGGUUAUCUCACCUUGAAAAGCAUCUCGUCUUGCAUCAAACGUUCACCAUCGCACCGGGCAAGUAUUAACCACAGCAUGAAAAGCGUUACCCAACUUUACACGGAAUGAGUCGCAGCAGCAUAGAAGUGAAGGCUGGGACAUCCUCUCCAACCACCAACACCACCCAUCGUUUACAAAACAUCUCCCUGCGUCGCUGUCAUUCAUGAUACAUGGGAAUACAAAACAACAAUGACAUACUUACUUGACCUCCCUUGGGUCCUGCCUGUCGUAGUCACUUAUAGGACAUUUCUGACAAUGUUCUGAGAAGACUCCAAGAGGUUUCUCCUACUUAUACCGAGAUUACCAGUACUUAGCGGUGUGUCGUAUGUUGUCGAGCUGGUCGAAAAGUACAACGUCGAAAGAGAUAAGCUUUAUUUUAGCGACAUUUUUAUCAAAUAUCUGCCAUGGAAGUAGUGCAAAUUGACAGCGACGCAGCGCGUCAUCGGAUAUUCAAGAAAUCGUACGCGCUGGCGAUUUCAACGGAGAUUAUAUUGCCUCCUGAGGGUGAAGCAGCAGUGCCGUCUGAGGGCUGACCGUCUGAGGGCUGAAGGCGUUCCCGCCGCUACCACAACACGAGCUUUCGCCUCAAGCACCACCAGCCUCAGAGGUGUGUGACUGGAGCACGGUGGAGCGCAAGAGGCGGUUGGGAGACUCAUUGACAAUGCGCGUGCCGGGGCCUCAAGGGUGAGGCAGCGUUGUCACCCGCCAGUCUGGGAGGGCGAGGCUGGCCAAGGUGGGGCGCGGGGCGGUCUUCUCACGCCACCACACAGGAAUCCCUAAGUUAAAAGUGCCUCUUAUUGUUUGUUUGAUUGUUAUUAACAACAGUUAAUUACAGCUGGUUGCCAAACUGUGUUAAAAUGUUUGUUAAAUACUUUUAAAAACCUCUAAAUGUUUCAUAAAUGUUAACAAGGAAAGAUAUAUCAGUGUAUGUGUGUAGCAGGAAUUGCAGUCAGUGAGUCAGUCAGUGAGUCAGUAGGCGUAGUGCGACUACGAGUAGUGCAGUGGGCGGGGCGGGGCGGGGCGGGGCGGGCGGGCAGGUGUGCCCCGUGCCUUGUCCCAGCUGACGCAUCAGGUCCAAAAGUUAGAUUACUUACAAACGUUAAAAGCAAAAACAAAAAAUACAAAAAGAGGCCGUGGCCAGUAUGUGUUACUUUUGUGAGAGCUUCACAUUUAAUUUUGAAGUUACAAAAUAGACUGUUUCCGUAUAAAUAAUGUAUAUACGAUAUACAUAUUAUAUAUAUAUAUAUAUUAUACAUAGAAACAACAAAAAUAGAUACGUACAUACAUGCACAUUUACACGUAUGUAUAUCAGCGUUCUUUAAUGAUGAAGCAGCCACCGUACUGCAAGUGAAGGCUAUCACGGAAUAGCCUGCCCUGUAAAUAAUAAGUACAGGCCACAAGUCAUCUGUGGCUGAGUCCUGUUGCACCCUUCCGGGAGGUGAGGCGCCUAGCUUGUGGGCGUGGUGGGUCAGUCCGUAGGUCUGCAAUAAACUAAUUUCUAAGGCAUCACUGUCUGUAUGGAAGUGUUCGUGCAUUACUUAGUGCGGUGCCGUGGCCCGCGACCCCGUGAUAGUGUACACCGGGACCCCAGUAUUCUUUACUUUGACCGAUACUUGGAUGGUCCUCCUCGAUUCCUCAUCCUCCUUUGUGUGUGUGUGUGUGUGUGUGUGUGUGUGUGUGUGUGUGUGUGUGUGUGUGUGUGUGUGUGUGUGUGUGUGUGUGUGUGUGUGUGUGUGUGUGUGUGUGUGUGUGUG